GAAUUUUUCACAUACUUGUUAGCCAUUUGUUUGUCUUCUUUUGAGAAAUUUCUACAUAGAUCCUCGGUUCCCUAAUUGGGCUAUUUGUUUUCUUGCUAGUGAGUUGAAUUCCCUUACAUUUUGGAUAUUAACCUUUUUUUUUUUUGAGAUGUAUGGUUUGAAAAUGUUUUCUCCCGUUAUGUAGAUCAUCUCUUCACUCUGUUGAUUGUUUCCUUAACUGUGCCCAAACUUUUAAAUUUGAUAUAAUCCCACUUGUCUAUUUUUGUUUUUAUUUCCUGUGCUGUGGGAAGUCUUAUCCACAAAUCAUUGUCCAAAUCAAUGUCAUUGGGCUUUUCCUAUUUUCUUUGGGUGGUUUCAGAGUUUUGACUCUCAUAUUUAAAUCUCUUAUCUAUUUUUUGUGAUUAUUUUUUUAGAUGAUAAGAGAUUUCCAUUUCACUCUUUUGCAUGUGAAUAACCAGUUUUCCCAACACCAUUUAUAGAGACUGUCUCUUCCCUAUUGGAAUUUCUGGCAUCUUUUUCAAGAAUUAAUUGACUGUAAGUGUGUGGAUUUAUUUCUGGGCCCUCUAUGCUGUUCCAUUGGCCUAUAUAUCUAUGGUUAUGCCAAGGCAUGCUGUUUUGAUUAUGGUAGCUUCAUCAUAUAAUUUGAAGUAAGAUACUGUGAUAUUUCCAGCUUCAUUCCUGUGCUCAAGAUCAUCUUGGCUAAUUUUUUUUCCUAUAGAGAAGUGAUACACAUGUACAGAUAAUGGAAUAUAUAUAUAAUGGUAUAUUCCCCUUAAUCUCUCUCUCUCUCUCUCUCUCUCUCUCUCUCUCUCUCUCUCUCUCUCAUUUCCUAAGAAUUGCUUCUAUUUUGUUUAGUUCUCUGAUUCUGGGGUAAUUAAAUCCAGUCCUAAUAUUUGCAUGAUUAGGUCCCUCCUUCCUCUUCCCACUCAAAAUUUCACUCUGCACCAUGAGAAGUCUCACAGGCAUGAGUGUGUAGACACGUCAGUCCAAGGUCCAGAUGUGUGUGUGUGUGUGCAUGCACACACACACACACACAAUUGCUAGGAGCUGGCCACUGGCCAUCACUAGAACCUAAGUCUGCAGACGUUAGCAAUUUUAUUCCCAUGGGGAAAGGUUUGUAAAAGUAAAGGCUGCCCAAGCCCUGAGAGCAGACAGUGCUGGAGUCCCAGUUAUGGGCAGUGUGGUCUACAGGACCUGUUCAGGGGGGAGGGUGGUGCACCCAGAAGAGGGACAGAGCCAUCUUGAACAGGAGCCCCGAAAAAGGUCCCCAUUGCCAGGCCUGAUGGACACAGGGCUGCUGCUCUCAACCUCCACUAAUCUGCACAAUAGGCACCAGUGGGCAGCAGAGCCCAGCUUCCCUUAAAAAAGCAAAACCUUAAUCCAAAGUCAUUAACUCUGUGGCGAUUUCCAUCACGUCCUAUCAAACAUCCUAUGGUCUGCAUGGCCUCAGGAUCCAUUUUAACCAUCUUCAGCUGAGAUUCACACAAAUCUUCAUCUUCAUCCUCAUAUAAUGCAUUUCCUCCGGAAUCCUCUUGUCCUUUUCUCCUUUCUCAAGAAGAGUGUCAUUCUUCAAUGUGGGGGCAGCACAGAGAUCACUGAUGACAUGCAAAAUGGCUCUAGUUGGUACAUUGAAUGGACUUUUCUGAAAGUUAAAUAGAG
rnacentral:lncRNA from 1 species